rnacentral:rRNA from 1 species
AACGAACGCUGGCGGCAGGCUUAACACAUGCAAGUCGAGUGCCCCGCAAGGGGAGCGGCAGACGGGUGAGUAACGCGUGGGAAUCUACCCAUCUCUACGGAAUAACGCAUGGAAACGUGUGCUAAUGCCGUAUACGUCCUUCGGGAGAAAGAUUUAUCGGAGAUGGAUGAGCCCGCGUUGGAUUAGCUAGUUGGUGGGGUAAAGGCCUACCAAGGCGACGAUCCAUAGCUGGUCUGAGAGGAUGAUCAGCCACACUGGGACUGAGACACGGCCCAGACUCCUACGGGAGGCAGCAGUGGGGAAUAUUGGACAAUGGGCGCAAGCCUGAUCCAGCCAUGCCGCGUGAGUGAUGAAGGCCCUAGGGUUGUAAAGCUCUUUCACCGGUGAAGAUAAUGACGGUAACCGGAGAAGAAGCCCCGGCUAACUUCGUGCCAGCCGCCGCGGUAACAC